GACAUCCAGAGAACUUAGCAGAGAUGCUUUGGUGCCUUCGGGAACUCUGAGACAGGUGCUGCAUGGCUGUCGUCAGCUCGUGUUGUGAAAUGUUGGGUUAAGUCCCGCAACGAGCGCAACCCUUAUCCUUUGUUGCCAGCGGUUCGGCCGGGAACUCAAAGGAGACUGCCGGUGAUAAACCGGAGGAAGGUGGGGAUGACGUCAAGUCAUCAUGGCCCUUACGGCCAGGGCUACACACGUGCUACAAUGGCGCAUACAAAGAGAAGCGACCUCGCGAGAGCAAGCGGACCUCAUAAAGUGCGUCGUAGUCCGGAUUGGAGUCUGCAACUCGACUCCAUGAAGUCGGAAUCGCUAGUAAUCGUAGAUCAGAAUGCUACGGUGAAUACGUUCCCGGGCCUUGUACACACCGCCCGUCACACCAUGGGAGUGGGUUGCAAAAGAAGUAGGUAGCUUAACCUUCGGGAGGGCGCUUACCACUUUGUGAUUCAUGACUGGGGUGAAGUCGUAACAAGGUAGGCGUAGCGAG
rnacentral:rRNA from 1 species